rnacentral:rRNA from 1 species
ACGGGUGAGUAACGCGUGGGUAACCUGCCUCAUACAGGGGGAUAACAGUUAGAAAUGACUGCUAAUACCGCAUAAGCGCACAGUGCUGCAUGGCACAGUGUGAAAAACUCCGGUGGUAUGAGAUGGACCCGCGUCUGAUUAGCUAGUUGGUGGGGUAACGGCUUACCAAGGCGACGAUCAGUAGCCGGCCUGAGAGGGUGAACGGCCACAUUGGGACUGAGACACGGCCCAAACUCCUACGGGAGGCAGCAUG